GGGCCUAAAUGAAUGCUCAUUCAGAUCCCAUCGAAAGGCGUUGGUUGCUAUAGACAGCAGGACGGUGGUCAUGGAAGUCGGAAUCCGCUAAGGAGUGUGUAACAACUCACCUGCCGAAGCAACUAGCCCUUAAAAUGGUAUGGCGCUCAAGCAUUCUCCCGAUACUCGACCGCCGGGGCACUAGAGGCCAGCCACGUCCCAGAGGCGAGGCCUCGAAGCCCCGGUGAGUAAGAGGGUCGCAGUGGUGAGCGCUGAAGGGAUCCGGCGUGAGCCGGCCUGGAGCCGCCACUGGUGCAGAUCUUGGUGGUAGUAGCAAAUACUCGAGAGAGACUCCCUUGAAGACCGAUGUGGAGAAGGGUUCCAUGUGAACAUCAGUUGGACAUGGGUUAGUCGCUCCUAAGCCCAAGGCUAAGGCCUGAUCCCAUGCUAGCGGC
rnacentral:rRNA from 1 species